UACGGAGGAGGCAAGCGUUAUCCGGAAUUAUUGGGCGUAAAGCGUCCGUAGAUGGUUUUGUCAGUCUGCUGUCAAAGCACAGGGCUUAACCCUGUAAAGGCAGUGGAAACUACAAGACUAGAGUGCAGUAGGGGCAGAGGGAAUUCCCAGUGUAGCGGUGAAAUUCGUAGAUAUUGGGUGGAACACCGGUGGCGAAGGCGGCUCACUGGUCCGGUUCUGACGCUGAGGCGCGAAAGCGUGGGGAGCAAACAGG
rnacentral:rRNA from 1 species